rnacentral:rRNA from 1 species
AGUGAACGCUGGCGGUAGGCCUAACACAUGCAAGUCGAACGGCAGCACAGUAAGAGCUUGCUCUUACGGGUGGCGAGUGGCGGACGGGUGAGGAAUACAUCGGAAUCUACUUUUUCGUGGGGGAUAACGUAGGGAAACUUACGCAAAUACCGCAUACGACCUACGGGUGAAAGCAGGGGAUCUUCGGACCUUGCGCGAUUGAAUGAGCCGAUGUCGGAUUAGCUAGUUGGCGGGGUAAAGGCCCACCAAGGCGACGAUCCGUAGCUGGUCUGAGAGGAUGGUCAGCCACACUGGAACUGAGACACGGUCCAGACUCCUACGGGAGGCAGCAGUGGGGAAUAUUGGACAAUGGGCGCAAGCCUGAUCCAGCCAUACCGCGUGGGUGAAGAAGGCCUUCGGGUUGUAAAGCCCUUUUGUUGGGAAAGAAAAGCAGCAGGUUAAUACCCCGCUGUUCUGACGGUACCCAAAGAAUAAGCACCGGCUAACUUCGUG